GUGGUAUGAUUGCAAAUGAGACAACUAUCCACAAAAGACCAAAAUGACACAGACAUUAACAACUAUAGGUCACCGUACGGCCUUCAACAAUGAGCAAAGCCCAUACCGCAUAUUGAGCUAUAAAAGGCCCCGAUAAGACAAUGUAAAACAAUUCAAACGAGAAAACUAACGGCCUCAUUUAUGUAAAAAAAAAUGAACGAAAAACAAAUAUGUAACACAUAAACAAACGACAACCACUGAAUUACAGGCUCCUGACUUGGGACAGGCCUAUACAUAAAUAAUGUGACGGGGUUAAACAUGUUAGCGGGAUCCCAACCCUCCCCCUAACCUGGGACAGUGGUAUAACAGUACAACAUAAGAACGAAC
rnacentral:lncRNA from 1 species